AUACUCUGGUUUCUAUUGAGCAUUAAUAAAUCUUUUGCGUUUCACUAAAGACUUCUGUGGAGAGGAACAAUUGUGUUUCUUUGGUGAAAAAUUGUUUGAGUUCUUUUGAUUUGUAAAGGC